rnacentral:rRNA from 1 species
UACAGAGGCCACGAGCGUUAGGCGGAAUCACUGGGCUUAAAGCGUGUGUAGGUGGAUCGGUAAGUACCUUGUGAAAUCCCACGACUCAAUCGUGGAACUGCUUGGUAUACUGCCAGUCUUGAGGUACUCAGGGGCAAGCGGAACAGAUGGUGGAGCGGUGAAAUGCGUAGAUAUCAUUUGGAACGCCAAUGGUGAAAACAGGUAGCUGGGGCUGUGCUGACACUGAGACACGAAAGCCAGGGGAGCAAACGGG